GCAGAGUUCGGAAGCCUUGCUUUUGAAAUGUCGCCGGGACCGCGAGUUCAGCAUGAAGACGAAGUUUCACAGGCAUCGGGCACGCAAGAAGUAGGCAGUCUUACCCGCUUGGCUUCGACAAACUGGUGUCAGUGUGGUUCAUGCAUCACAAUGCCAACAGAGGUAGAGUGUUUAUGCUGCAAGGAGCUCGGGAGCACAGCUGAGGAGUUGCAGUACGACUGUAUAACAACCCAUGAGGAUUUCAAACUCUUGUGCCUCAAUACAACAGUCCUCAAAGUAGCGUACUUUGAACUUCGAGGGCAGCACGAACCCAUGAGCGCUCAUAUUCACAAGAGAUACAGGUACACCGCAUACCGGCAGUUUGCGAGGUGGGUGUGGCACAAACUCGGAAAAAACAAAAGAAUGGUUAUACCAGCCUGUGCAGUGAAUAGGAUACGAGAAGCCUUCCCCACAGAAACUACUACAGGAUUUAAAUACCCAAGAUACUAGGUGGAGGUACGUCUCAUCAUAUUUUUCCUCAUUUCGUUCAAGAUUCAUAUUUACGGAAAAAGUGGGCUUGGUAUGGAGAGCUUGUGUUUAUA